rnacentral:tRNA from 1 species
GCUGAGGUGGUCUAGUGGUAAGAUUCCAGGAAGGAGACGCCAGUUCGAUUCUGGCCCUCGGCA